AACGAACGCUGGCGGCAUGCCUAACACAUGCAAGUCGAACGAGACCUUCGGGUCUAGUGGCGCACGGGUGCGUAACGCGUGGGAAUCUGCCCCUCGGUUCGGAAUAACAGUUAGAAAUGACUGCUAAUACCGGAUGAUGUCUUCGGACCAAAGAUUUAUCGCCCAAGGAUGAGCCCGCGUAGGAUUAGGUAGUUGGUGGGGUAAUGGCCCACCAAGCCGACGAUCCUUAGCUGGUCUGAGAGGAUGAUCAGCCACACUGGGACUGAGACACGGCCCAGACUCCUACGGGAGGCAGCAGUGGGGAAUAUUGGACAAUGGGCGAAAGCCUGAUCCAGCAAUGCCGCGUGAGUGAUGAAGGCCUUAGGGUUGUAAAGCUCUUUUACCAGGGAUGAUAAUGACAGUACCUGGAGAAUAAGCUCCGGCUAACUCCGUGCCAGCAGCCGCCGUAA
rnacentral:rRNA from 1 species